rnacentral:rRNA from 1 species
AUUGAACGCUGGCGGCAGGCCUAACACAUGCAAGUCGAACGAGUGGCGGACGGGUGAGUAAUGUCUGGGAAACUGCCCGAUGGAGGCGGAUAACUACUGGAAACGGUAGCUAAUACCGCAUACCAUCGGAUGUGCCCAGUUGGGAUUAGCUAGUAGGUGGGGUAACGGCUCACCUAGGCGACGAUCCCUAGCUGGUCUGAGAGGAUGACCAGCAACACUGGAACUGAGACACGGCCCAGACUCCUACGGGAGGCAGCAGUGGGGAAUAUUGGGCAAUGGGCGAAAGCCUGAUGGAGCCAUGCCGCGUGAGUGAAGAAGGCCUUCGGGUUGUAAAGUACUUUCAGCGGGGAGGCGGUACUCGAAGAAGAAGCACCGGCUAACUCCGUGCCAGCAGCCGCGGUAAUAC